UGUAUAAUGGGUCAGCGACUUAUAUUCUGUAGCAAGGUUAACCGAAUAGGGGAGCCGAAGGGAAACCGAGUCUUAACUGGGCGUUAAGUUGCAGGGUAUAGACCCGAAACCCGGUGAUCUAGCCAUGGGCAGGUUGAAGGUUGGGUAACACUAACUGGAGGACCGAACCGACUAAUGUUGAAAAAUUAGCGGAUGACUUGUGGCUGGGGGUGAAAGGCCAAUCAAACCGGGAGAUAGCUGGUUCUCCCCGAAAGCUAUUUAGGUAGCGCCUCGUGAAUUCAUCUCCGGGGGUAGAGCACUGUUUCGGCAAGGGGGUCAUCCCGACUUACCAACCCGAUGCAAACUGCGAAUACCGGAGAAUGUUAUCACGGGAGACACACGGCGGGUGCUAACGUCCGUCGUGAAGAGGGAAACAACCCAGACCGCCAGCUAAGGUCCCAAAGUCAUGGUUAAGUGGGAAACGAUGUGGGAAGGCCCAGACAGCCAGGAUGUUGGCUUAGAAGCAGCCAUCAUUUAAAGAAAGCGUAAUAGCUCACUGGUCGAGUCGGCCUGCGCGGAAGAUGUAACGGG
rnacentral:rRNA from 1 species